AGCUCUGUCAUUAUUUUCCCAAAGAUCGAAGCUCCAUGAUCUCAGAGUAGUCACCUCCACGGGGCCAGCCCAGCCCUGGCUUUUGCAUCUGGACAUGUCUUGAGUUGAGGAGGUGACCGUCUCCAGGAGGAACAGAUGGUUGAGGAAGAGAAAAGGAAGCACGGCUCAGGGAGCCAGGAUUCUUCAGCCAUGACGUGAGGCCAUGCCGUUUCUGCCUGGGAGCUGGCGGACCAUGGACUAAAACCGUGAGCCAAAAUAAAUUCCCCUUCAAUUUGUAAAUGUCAGGUAUCAUGGCUCAGCGAUUAGAAAGUGACUAGGACAUCCACCAAUUCACUGGAUUCAGCGGGACCCCUG